GACGAACGCUGGCGGCGUGCUUAACACAAGCAAGUCGAACGAUGAAGCUGGAGCUUGCUCCGGUGGAUUAGUGGCGAACGGGUGAGUAACACGUGAGCAAUCUGCCCUUGACUCUGGAAUAACUGCGGGAAACUGUAGCUAAUACCGGAUACUUUCACUGGAAGGCAUCUUCUGGUGAAGAAAGAAUUUCGGUCAAGGAUGAGCUCGCGGCCUAUCAGCUUGUUGGUGAGGUAACGGCUCACCAAGGCGACGACGGGUAGCCGGCCUGAGAGGGUGACCGGCCACACUGGGACUGAGACACGGCCCAGACUCCUACGGGAGGCAGCAGUGGGGAAUAUUGCACAAUGGGCGCAAGCCUGAUGCAGCAACGCCGCGUGAGGGAUGAAGGCCUUCGGGUUGUAAACCUCUUUUAGCAGGGAAGAAGCGAAAGUGACGGUACCUGCAGAAAAAGCACCGGCUAACUACGUGCCAGCCGCCGCGGUAA
rnacentral:rRNA from 1 species